rnacentral:rRNA from 1 species
AGAGUUUGAUCCUGGCUCAGGACGAACGCUGGCGGCGUGCUUAACACAUGCAAGUCGAACGGAAAGGCCCUGCUUGCAGGGUGCUCGAGUGGCGAACGGGUGAGUAACACGUGGGUGAUCUGCCCCUUACUUUGGGAUAAGCCUGGGAAACUGGGUCUAAUACUGGAUAGGACCAUGCUGUAGGUGGUGUGGUGGAAAGAUUAGUUUCGGUAAGGGAUGAGCUCGCGGCCUAUCAGCUUGUUGGUGGGGUAAUGGCCUACCAAGGCGUCGACGGGUAGCCGGCCUGAGAGGGUGGACGGCCACAUUGGGACUGAGAUACGGCCCAGACUCCUACGGGAGGCAGCAGUGGGGAAUAUUGCACAAUGGGCGCAAGCCUGAUGCAGCGACGCCGCGUGGGGGAUGACGGCCUUCGGGUUGUAAACUCCUUUCAGCCAUGACGAAGCCUUCGGGUGACGGUAGUGGUAGAAGAAGCACCGGCUAACUACGUGCCAGCAGCCGCGGUAAUACGUAGGGUGCGAGCGUUGUCCGGAAUUACUGGGCGUAAAGAGCUCGUAGGUGGUCUGUCGCGUCAUUUGUGAAAGCCCGGGGCUUAACUCCGGGUUGGCAGGUGAUACGGGCAUGACUGGAGUACUGUAGGGGAGACUGGAAUUCCUGGUGUAGCGGUGAAAUGCGCAGAUAUCAGGAGGAACACCGGUGGCGAAGGCGGGUCUCUGGGCAGUAACUGACGCUGGGGAGCGAAAGCAUGGGUAGCGAACAGGAUUAGAUACCCUGGUAGUCCAUGCCGUAAACGGUGGGCGCUAGGUGUGGGUUUCCUUCCACGGGAUCCGUGCCGUAGCUAACGCAUUAAGCGCCCCGCCUGGGGGAGUACGGCCGCAAGGCUAAAACUCAAAGGAUUUGACGG